UGCACGGUGGCGCAGUUGGUAGCACUUUUGCCUUGCAGUAAGAAGGUCCUGGGUUUGACUCCAGGCUGGGGGUCUUUCUGCAU